GUGAGGAAUCUUCCACAAUGGGCGAAAGCCUGAUGGAGCAACGCCGCGUGAAGGAUGAAGGUCUUCGGAUUGUAAACUUCUUUUAUGAGUGAAGAAUAUGACGGUAACUCAUGAAUAAGCACCGGCUAACUACGUGCCAGCAGCCGCGGUCAUACGUAGGGUGCAAGCAUUAUCCGGAGUGACUGGGCGUAAAGAGUUGCGUAGGCGGUUAUGUAAGCGAAUAGUGAAACCUGGUGGCUCAACCACACAGACUAUUAUUCGAACUGCAUAACUCGAGAAUGGUAGAGGUAACUGGAAUUUCUUGUGUAGGAGUGAAAUCCGUAGAUAUAAGAAGGAACACCAAUGGCGUAGGCAGGUUACUGGGCCAUUUCUGACGCUAAGGCACGAAAGCGUGGGGAGCGAACCGGAUUAGAUACCCCUGUAGUCC
rnacentral:rRNA from 1 species